rnacentral:rRNA from 1 species
CAAUGGACGAGAGUCUGAACCAGCCAAGUAGCGUGCAGGAUGACGGCCCUAUGGGUUGUAAACUGCUUUUAUAAGGGAAUAAAGUGAGCCUCGUGAGGCUUUUUGCAUGUACCUUAUGAAUAAGGACCGGCUAAUUCCGUGCCAGCAGCCGCGGUAAUACGGAAGGUCCGGGCGUUAUCCGGAUUUAUUGGGUUUAAAGGGAGCGUAGGCCGGAGAUUAAGCGUGUUGUGAAAUGUAGAUGCUCAACAUCUGCACUGCAGCGCGAACUGGUUUCCUUGAGUACGCACAAAGUGGGCGGAAUUCGUGGUGUAGCGGUGAAAUGCUUAGAUAUCACGAAGAACUCCGAUUGCGAAGGCAGCUCACUGGAGCGCAACUGACGCUGAAGCUCGAAAGUGCGGGUAUCGAACAGGAUUAGAUACCCUGGUAGUCCGCACGGUAAACGAUGGAUGCCCGCUGUUGGUCUGAAUAGGUCAGCGGCCAAGCGAAAGCAUUAAGCAUCCCACCUGGGGAGUACGCCGGCAACGGUGCAACUCAAAGGAAUUGACGGAA